UAAGUCGCGAAGGUAAAGGAACCGCGACUAAUGGGGUCUUUAGUCGCGGUUCGUGUGGCGAACCGCGACCAAAGGCCUGGGCCCAGGGCGCACGGUGGCCAGCUGGUGCACGUGGGGGGCUUUAGUCGCGGUUGGCCAGGCCAACCGCGACUAAAGGUGCCCGAAGGCCUUUAGUCGCGGUUGGCCAGGCCAACCGGGACUAAAGCCCCUCCCCUAUAUAUACCCAUCCAGCAGCCAACACUUAGCCAUUUGGUGCCAUUCUCUUCACAAGCUUCACAAGUGGGUGUUAGGUUUGCUUUUGGUUCCUCUUAUGCACAUAAGGUGUUUGAUGAAAUGCCCCAAGAGCAUGAAACAAACAUGAUAUGAAGUGUUGGAGCCACACUUGAGCUUUCUCAUUUAUUUUUUCCUCCUCGAUCGCGAUGAAUCGACAAUGGAUGUACGGUAACCGACUCUCCGGCGAGUUCAGUGCGGGUUUGAAAGAUUUCCUCGUAGUGGCUAAUGCGAACAAGCAGGAGGGUUUUGUUAUCUGUCCAUGUGUUAAAUGUAAGAAUCAGAAGGGUUACUCUUCCUCAA